rnacentral:rRNA from 1 species
AACGAACGCUGGCGGCAUGCCUAACACAUGCAAGUCGAACGCCCUCUUCGGAGGGAGUGGCGCACGGGUGCGUAACGCGUGGGAACCUGCCCUUAGGUUCGGAAUAACUCAGAGAAAUUUGAGCUAAUACCGGAUAAUGUCUUCGGACCAAAGAUUUAUCGCCUUUGGAUGGGCCCGCGUUGGAUUAGCUAGUUGGUGGGGUAAAGGCCUACCAAGGCGACGAUCCAUAGCUGGUCUGAGAGGAUGAUCAGCCACACUGGGACUGAGACACGGCCCAGACUCCUACGGGAGGCAGCAGUGGGGAAUAUUGGACAAUGGGCGAAAGCCUGAUCCAGCAAUGCCGCGUGAGUGAUGAAGGCCUUAGGGUUGUAAAGCUCUUUACUGGGGAUGAUAAUGACAGUACCCAGAGAAUAAGCUCCGGCUAACUCCGUGCCAGCAGCCGCGGUAAAGUGACUACUG